rnacentral:tRNA from 1 species
UAGUAAAAUGCCUGAUAAAAGGGUUAUUUUGAUAGAAUAAAUUAUGUUAAUUUACUUUUACUAU